UCCGUAGGUGAACCCUGCGGAAGGAUCAUUACUGAACUGUCAACACGAGUUGUUGCUGGUCCUCGAAAGGGGACAUGUGCACGCUCUGUUUACACAUCCACUCACACCUGUGCACCCUCGUAGUUCUAUGGCCUGGGGGGCUCUGUCCCUCUUGCUGUGGUCCUACACCUUUACACACACACUGUAACAAAAGUAUAAUGGAAUGUAUGUCGCGUCUAACGCAAUACAAUACAACUUUCAGCAACGGAUCUCUUGGCUCUCGCAUCGAUGAAGAACGCAGCGAAAUGCGAUAAGUAAUGUGAAUUGCAGAAUUCAGUGAAUCAUCGAAUCUUUGAACGCACCUUGCGCCCUUUGGCUAUUCCGAAGGGCAUGCCUGUUUGAGUAUCAUGAACACCUCAACUCUCAUGGUCUGCCAUGAUGAGCUUGGACUUUGGGGGUCUUGCCGGCGUAACCGUCGGCUCCUCUCAAAUGAAUCAGCUUGCCAGUGUUUGGUGGCGUCACAGGUGUGAUAACUAUCUACGCUUGUGAUCUUCCAUCAGGUUACCUUCAGUAAUGGGGGUUCGCUGGAGCUCACAGAUGUGUCUCUCCUCAGGGAGGACAGCUUUUUAAUGUUUGAUCUCAAAUCAGGUAGGACUACCCGCUGAACUUAAGCAUAUCAAUAAGCGGAGGAAAAGAAACUAACAAGGAUUCCCCUAGUAACUGCGAGUGAAGCGGGAAGAGCUCAAAUUUAAAAUCUGGCGUGCCUCUGGUCGUCCGAGUUGUAGUCUGGAGAAGCG
rnacentral:rRNA from 1 species